CGCCAAAGGGGACUUAAAUGAUAUUCUCCAGAACCCAUGUCAUUUCCAUAUUCACCCUUCAGAACUUCUUUAUAUCAAUCGAUCGCAGCCAGAGACAGGCCACCACUUUACUUGCUGAAGCAAACCCCAUUUCUCAGUUUCUUUCUUUUCUAGGCUAGAGCUUGCCUCUCCAUCUCAAACAUGGCAGGAUCUUCCAUCAAACCCACUCC
rnacentral:misc_RNA from 1 species